UUGUUGUAAGGGUUAGAUGAGGUGAUACAGGAAGUAUUUAAAAGUGCACCUUCCAGGUAGUAAGUACUGAACCAGUGUUACUUAUUAAUGAUGAUCACAUGACUAACAGACACCAGUGGUAACAGCUCCGUUCAGAAGCACCAGUCUCUUCCUUCUGGCUUGAUCCACACGGCACCUCUCCAAGGGGGGCUUGAACCUGAUGUGAAGUCCAAGGCCUGGACCCGACUGCAAGUUGCUUGGCAGAAACCCCUCCAAAUGCUGAAGUCGUCCCAGGAGAGGGGGCGGGGUUUUCUACAUCAAGGUCCUUCAAGCAGCUUCCAGGACGGUCCGCUCGGAAACCCCAAGGUCCUGGCAGUCAAUUCUCAAUGCACCCGCCUGCUCCCCGUGUGACUGACUGACUCAAAACCCAGGGACCCAGUGGUUCCCCUGAGCGCUCAGGGGGAAGGAAGCCAACCCCUGGUUCAGGUUGCCCCCGCCCCAGAGCAUGGGUGUUUUCUUCUGCCGCCCCACGGGCACCCUGCGGACACCCCUGCGAGUGCAGGAGGUGAGCAGGACCGGGGCGUGUCGCUGCAGCUCCCAAGCGUCUUCCGGUGGCCAAGAUUUGCCUUGGCACCUUAUGGCCCCUUUUCAGCCCGAGUUCAGGGCAAUUCGAGGGAGGUCUGAGGCCAGGCCUUGGGACCCUCCUGCGAGCUCCCUGCACGCUGAUCCCUGGGGUCCCUCGGGCACGGAAGGAGCCCCGCCCGGAUCUACGUGCCCUUCCCUACAUGGCAGUCCGGGCAGUGCCACCCGGUGGUUUUGAGUUAGAACAGGACCGAGCAGCUUACGUGCCUCUCUGCCAGCAGCUGAAAUGCGGUCACUUCUGCCUUUGUCUGACAUGAACAUCCUUGAACUUUAUGUGCAUCUUCAAGAAUUUCUGUGGUGUAGAUUCCCAGAACUGAAAUCACUCUGUCUACAGAUUUGCAAAAUCUUUGAUAGACACCAGCGAAUAUCUGAUCUGUUAUCCCUACCACAGAUAGAUAUAUUUUUUUCUUUCUGUUGUUGAGUUUGUGCUGUUUGUUGUCUCUCUCCAUACAACUGUGUGAGUUUACCUUGACAAAUGUACCAGUGUGUUCCGUUUUGUCCUGCAAGUCUUUCCUUGCUUGGAUAAGUGUCCCUCCCCUAGAAUUAUGAAAACACCGUCCUCUCCCCACUCCAUAAUUUCACAGGUUCCUCGAGUAUUCGCAGCUGCUCGGUGAGUGAUCCACCCCUGGGUCAAGGCCAGAACUUUCCAAGUACACUACUACAGGUUUCUGAUACGCUUUUGCAUCUGGUAGGACGAACUUUCCCUCUUUCUCAAAAUAUUCUCAGCUACUCUUUUCUUCCUCUUCUUCUUCUUUCUUCUUUCUUCUUUUUUUAAGCUGGGGGUUGCACCCAGGGGCACUUUACCACUGAGCUACAUCCCCAGCCAUUUUUAAUUUUCUUUUAUUUUGAAGGAGGGUCUCACUAAGUUGUUUAAGGUCUCACUAAGUUGCUGAGGCUGCCCUUGAACUUGUGAUCCUCCUGCCUCAGUCUCCCGUGCUGCUGGGAUUGCAGAUGUGCGUCCGCUGCUCCAACCAGCUGUGCUGGAGUAAUAAAAUCCUCAGAAAGGGACAGUAUAAUACUCAUCUUUGUCCCCGCGCCCCCAGCACCAGUCCCAAACAUACUUGAUAACCAUUUAUUCAACACAUAGACAAAAGCAAGAAGCUCUCGGUACAGACUCAGACUUCGCUGUUCCUCGUAACAGCUGUAGGAUCUUGAGCAAGGGCUUCACUUCUGCGACAGCUGGCUUUCUCGUUGGGAACACACCCACAGUCACGCCAGCCCGCCUAGCUACGGUUCACUCCAGCACCAGACGACGCAGUCCGUGCGCUGGGGCAGCAGAGUUUGGGGGAAAUGUACCAGAGUGAAGCCCAUGCCUAAUGGGAUGAAGAGGAGCACCUGGAAAUAGGAACAAAAGCCAGCAAAGAAAUUACAGCGUCCUCCCCACUGUCUGCCUACAUUCCCAACCACCCACAGGAGGCGAGAGACCUCCUGUUCACAGGACACCUGGAAGUCUCUGGAAGCAGCCCUGGAGCCCUGGAAAAAGUACAUCUUCCCCUGCCUCCCCCCCCCAAAAAAAAAACCCAACAAAAACAAACAAAUAAAUGAAACCUCAAUAGGUAAACCUCUGCUUAGACCAUCUGACAUCCCCAAAGAGGGUGCCCAGCCCAAACCCAGAACAGGCUCCCCCCACCCCCGGGUCCUCCGGGUGCCUCCUGGCUACCAGAACUUGGCCAGAAGACAGUGUUUCUAGAAGGCUCACCAUGUGCCAGACUCUGUUCUGAGCACUUGUGCGUUAGCUCACUCCAUCUUCAAGAAAACCUUGGGAAGCAGGUGUCGUUGACAUCGGAUUUUUUGGCUGAGGACUUGGAGGUACAGAGAGCUAAGGUGACUCACCUGAGGUCACAUAGCGAGUGAGAGAUGGAACCUGAAUAGAGCCCAGGCCAAUUUGCUCCAGUGUCUGUGCCAAAUCACACUGUGUUACUAUGCAAGAUCACGAAUCCAUGACGUUCUUUCUGUUGGUUGAGCGCACACACACACACACACACACACACACCCCACAGUGGGUCCUCCAUAUCCAGGGGUUUUGUGGAUUUGUACUGAACAUGUACUGGGCUUUUAUUGGUGGUGGGUUCAUUAUUCCCUGAACAAUACAACUGUUUAAAAAAAUUAUUGACAGACCCUUACAUCAUAUGAGGUAUUGCAGGUGAUCUAGACAGGAUUUAAAGUACUCAGGAGGAUGAGAGUAGUUACAUAUAAACACUACACCAUUGUAUAUAAGGAAUUUGAGCAUCUGCAGAUUUUGGUAUCCACAUGGGGGUCCUGAAACUGAUCCCCUCCAGAUACCGAGGGACACCUGGACAGGCAAGAAUCCUGAGACUGUUAGAUGUCUGUCUGUCUGUGGUAGUGAUGUACGCAUCCAGAGUAACGUGUCUGUGUGACUCUGAGCUAAUGCCAGUGGUUCUUGUUUCUACAUGUUGUAAUGCUGAGAAAUGUUAGCUUCUUUGUAAUUAUCUGGCUUUGUGUGAAAAAUUCAACAAUAUACUUCAUUUUUAGAAAAGAAAUCCAUAUUAGAAAAAGGAAAACAUAAAGUACUUGAGAAAUAAAAAUUCCUGGCUUAUCUAA